rnacentral:rRNA from 1 species
AAAGACCUUAUGCUUUUGGAGCGGCCGAUGUCUGAUUAGCUAGUUGGUAGGGUAAUGGCUUACCAAGGCGACGAUCAGUAGUUGGUCUGAGAGGACGGCCAGCCACACUGGGACUGAGACACGGCCCAGACUCCUACGGGAGGCAGCAGUGGGGAAUUUUGGACAAUGGGCGCAAGCCUGAUCCAGCAAUGCCGCGUGAGUGAAGAAGGCCUUCGGGUUGUAAAGCUCUUUCAGUUGAAAAGAAAAGGUUGUGACUAAUAAUCAUAGCUCAUGACGGUAUCAACAGAAGAAGCACCGGCUAACUACGUGCCAGCAGCCGCGGUAAUACGUAGGGUGCAAGCGUUAAUCGGAAUUACUGGGCGUAAAGGGUGCGCAGGCGGUUCUGUAAGUCAGAUGUGAAAUCCCCGGGCUUAACCUGGGAACU